rnacentral:rRNA from 1 species
AGCGGUGAUUAUCGCGAAAGGGUUCCACCCGUUCCCAUCCCGAACACGGUAGUUAAGCCUUUCAGCUCCGACGAUACUUGGCGGGCAGCCGCCUGGGAAAAUAGGACAUUGCCGCUC